GACGAACGCUGGCGGCGUGCCUAAUACAUGCAAGUCGAACGCAGUGGGGACGGGGGAGUAACACGUGGGUAACCUCCCAUCAGAGGGGAUAACCCUUGGAAACAGGUGCUAAACCGAUACUGAUGGAUGGACCCGCGGUGCAUUAGGUAGUUGGUGAGGUAACGGCUCACCAAGGCCACGAUGCAUAGCCGUCCUUGUGGGGGGAUCGGCCACACUGGGACUGAUGAACGGCCCAGACUCCUACGGGAGGCAGCAGUAGGGAAUCUUUGGCAAUGGACGGAAGUCUGACCGAGCAACGCCGCGUGAGUGAAGAAGGUUUUCGGAUCGUAAAGCUCUGUUGGUUGAGAAGCGGUAACUAACCAGAAAGGGACGGCUAACUACGUGCCAGCAGCCGCGGUAAUUC
rnacentral:rRNA from 1 species